GACGAACGCUGGCGGCGUGCUUAACACAUGCAAGUCGAACGGAAAGGCCCUGAUUUUGUGGGGUGCUCGAGUGGCGAAGGGGUGAGUAUCACGUGAGUAACCUGCCCUUGACUUUGGGAUAACUUCAGGAAACUGGGGUUAAUAUCGGAUAGGAGCUCCUGUUGCAUGGUGGGGAUUGGAUAGUUUCGGCGGUUGGGGAUGGAUUCGCGGCUUAUCGGCUUGUUGGUGGGGUAGUGGCAUGCCAAGGUGUUGACGGGUAGCCGGCCUGCGUGCGUGAACAGCCACAUUGGUACUGAGAUACGGCCCAGACGCCUACGGUAGGCAGCAGGGGGGAAUAUGGCACAAUGGGCGGAAGCCGGAUGCAGCAGCGCCGCGGUCGGGAUGACGGCCUGCGGGUUAUAAACCGCUUUCGCCUGUGACGAAGCGGUAGUGACGGUAAUGGGUAAAGAAGCACCGGCUAACUACGUG
rnacentral:rRNA from 1 species